UACGGAGGGUGCAAGCGUUAAUCGGAAUUACUGGGCGUAAAGCGUGCGCAGGCGGUUUGUUAAGUCUGCUGUGAAAUCCCCGAGCUCAACUUGGGAAUUGCAGUGGAUACUGGUAGGCUGGAGUAUGGUAGAGGAAGGUGGAAUUCCCGGUGUAGCAGUGAAAUGCGUAGAGAUCGGGAGGAACACCAGUGGCGAAGGCGGCCUUCUGGACCAAUACUGACGCUCAUGCACGAAAGCGUGGGGAGCAAACAGG
rnacentral:rRNA from 1 species